rnacentral:rRNA from 1 species
AGUGAACGCUUGCGGCGUGCCUAAUACAUGCAAGUAGAAGGAAGUGGCGCACGGGUGAGUCAUAUAUAGCUAAUCUGACCCUUUCUGGAGGCAAACAAUUAGCAAUGACUGCUAAUCCUCCAUCGUAAGGGAUUAGAAUAUCUCGUAUAAGCUAGUCGGUGGAGUAACGUCCUACGGAGGCUAUGACGCGUAACUGGUCUGAGAAGAUGAUCAGUCACAUUGGAACUGAGACACGGUCCAAACUCCUACGGCGGGCAGCAGUAGGGAAUAGUGCGCAAUGGGGGAAUCCCUGACGCAGCAACGCCGCGUGGAGGAUGACACUGUUCGGAGCGUAAACUCCUUGUGUUAGGGAAGCGGUACCUAACUAAUAAGCACCGGCUAACUCCGUGCCAGCCGCCGCGGUAAUAC